GAUUCUCCUUUCAAUACAUUUAAUUUACUACUUCGUAUUUCUGGGAUUCCAGCUUCCAUGGGAACUCAUGUUUGUUUUGGCGGUAUGCAUAAUUCGUUGUGCGGCUUCUCUUAUAUUCCUCACGUAUGUGCUUUCAUUCAUCUUUCGCAAGUGGUGAAAAAAUAAUGGCUUUUGGUCUUUUGGCUUUUUUAUUGUCUUAAUAUGUGUAUUCACAAUUCCGGUAUCAACUAAGUAUGAAAAACCCAACUUAAUUUUGUGCAUGAUUUUCAUACCUUCCUUCACUUUGCUGGGAUAUGUCAUGUUAUUGAUCCAGCUCAACUUUAUGUAUAUGAGAAACUUGGACAGUCUGGACAAUAGAAUAAAUGAAGUCAAUAAAACCAUUCUUUUAACAACCUUAAUACCAUACCUUCAGAGUGUUAUUUUCCUUUUUGUCAUAAGGUGUCUGGACAUGAAGUAUGAAAUUGAAAUAAUGAAUAAAGACCCAGUUUUCAGAGUCUCUCCACGACGUAGAGAAACUCAUCCCUAUCCAGAAGAGCCUGAAGAAGAAGAUGUUCAAGCUGAAAGAGUCCAAGCAGCAAAUGCACUCACUACUCCAAACUUGGAGGAGGAGCCAGUCAUAACUGCAAGCUGUUUACACAAGGAAUAUUAUGAGGCAAAGAAAAGUUGCUUUUCAACAAGAAAGAAGAAAAUAGCCAUCAGAAAUGUUUCCUUUUGUGUUAAAAAGGUGAAGUUUUGGGAUGAGUAGGACACAGUGGAUCUGGUAAAAGUACUUCCAUUAAAAUGACAACUGGGUUCACAAAGCCAACUGCAGAAGCGGUGGUGUUACAAGGCAACAGAGCAUCAGUAAAGCAACAGCAUGACAACAGCCUCAAGUUCUUGGGGUACUGCCCUCAGAAGAACUCACUGUGGCCCAAGCUUACAAUGAAAGAGCACCUGGAGUUGUAUGCAGCUGUGAAAGGACUGGGCAAAGAAUAUGCUGCUCUUAGUAUUUCAUGAUUGGUGGAAGCUCUUAAGCUCCAGGAGCAACUUAAGGCUCCCGUGAAAACUCUAUCAGAGAGAUAAAAGAGAAAGCUAUGCUUUGUGCUGAGCAUCCUGGGGAACCCAUCAGUGGUGCUUCUAGAUGAGCUGUUCACCAGGAUGUACCCCGAGGGGCAGCAGCAAAUGUGGCAGAUACUUCAGGCUACCGUUAAAAACAAGGAGAGGGGCGCCCUCUUGACCACCCAUUACAUGUCAGAGGCUAAGGCUGUGUGUGGCCAUCAUGGUGUCAGGAACGCUAGGUUGUAUUGGUUCCAUUCAACAUCUGAAAAACAAGUUUGGUAAAGAUUUUUACUAGAAAUAAAAAAAUGAAAAAACCUACUCAGGUGGAAGCUCUCCACACAGAGAUUUUGAAGCUUUUCCCACAGGCUGCUCAGCAGGAAAGACGUUCCUCUUUAAUGGCCUAUAAGUUACCUGUGGAGGAUGUCCACCCUGUCUCAGGCCUUUUUCAAAGUAGAGGCAGUGAAACAGACCUUCAAUGUGGAGGAAUACAGCCUCUCUCAGGGCACCUUGGAGCAGGUAUUCUUAGAACUCCGUACAGAGCAGGCGCUGGGAAAUGUUGAUGAUAGAAGUACAGCAGUUUGAUGGAAACUUCUCCCACAGGAAGCCUCUUAAAACGAAGAACCUCCUAACAUUCAAUUUUAAGUCCUACUACAUUGUUUCCAUAAUUCUACAAGAAUGUUUCCUUUUACUUCAGUUAACAAAAAAAAAAAAAAAAAAAAAUUCAGUAGUUUAAACAUUCAAUAAUGAUUAAAGUUUUCAUUUUUAAAAAUUUUAGGAUGAAGGAAACAAGGAAAUACAGGGAAAAGUAGUAGACAAAAUUAACAAAAUCAGACAUGUUAUUCAUCCCCAACAUGGGUCUAUUUUGUGCUUAAAAAUAAUUUUAAAAAUCAUAUAAUAUUAGGUUGGUUUUUGGUUAUUAUCAAUAGUUAACACUGAGCACAUUUUACAAAUAAAAAAAUUUUUUAGCCUAAAUUUCAAAUGUAUCAGCUAUUUUUAAACAUUAGUUACUCAGAUUAUAAUUUAAUG